rnacentral:rRNA from 1 species
CUGCUCAGAUUGAACGCUGGCGGCAGGCUUAACACAUGCAAGUCGAGCGGAGAGAGGUAGCUUGCUACUGAUCUUAGCGGCGGACGGGUGAGUAAUACUUAGGAAUCUGCCUAUUAGUGGGGGACAACAUCUCGAAAGGGAUGCUAAUACCGCAUACGUCCUACGGGAGAAAGCAGGGGAUCUUUAUGACCUUGCGCUAAUAGAUGAGCCUAAGUCGGAUUAGCUAGUUGGUGGGGUAAAGGCCUACCAAGGCGACGAUCUGUAGCGGGUCUGAGAGGAUGAUCCGCCACACUGGGACUGAGACACGGCCCAGACUCCUACGGGAGGCAGCAGUGGGGAAUAUUGGACAAUGGGGGGAACCCUGAUCCAGCCAUGCCGCGUGUGUGAAGAAGGCCUUAUGGUUGUAAAGCACUUUAAGCGAGGAGGAGGCUUACCUGGUUAAUACCCAGGAUAAGUGGACGUUACUCGCAGAAUAAGCACCGGCUAACUCUGUGCCAGCAGCCGCGGUAAUACAGAGGGUGCAAGCGUUAAUCGGAUUUACUGGGCGUAAAGCGCGCGUAGGCGGCCAAUUAAGUCAAAUGUGAAAUCCCCGAGCUUAACUUGGGAAUUGCAUUCGAUACUGUUUGGCUAGAGUGUGGGAGAGGAUGGUAGAAUUCCAGGUGUAGCGGUGAAAUGCGUAGAGAUCUGGAGGAAUACCGAUGGCGAAGGCAGCCAUCUGGCCUAACACUGACGCUGAGGUGCGAAAGCAUGGGGAGCAAACAGGAUUAGAUACCCUGGUAGUCCAUGCCGUAAACGAUGUCUACUAGCCGUUGGGGCCUUUGAGGCUUUAGUGGCGCAGCUAACGCGAUAAGUAGACCGCCUGGGGAGUACGGUCGCAAGACUAAAACUCAAAUGAAUGACNGGGCCCGCACAAGCGG